CUUCCGUUUCCUAAUUUUCAAACCUCCAUUCUCCCCUUUUUGUUCCAAGGUAUUUUUCGAACCCGCGAAACCCGUUUAAUUUCGCGGGUUCGGUACGGAUCCCACUUAAAGUUUGGAAACCUAUUGCAGUAAUGCACUAAUCAAUAAAAUUGAUCCAAACUCUUUUGCCGACGCGUUGCUUUAGGUAUCUAUCUUUUUGUCUCGAUUCGAUGCCGCAGGAAUCGCAGCCUGAG
rnacentral:misc_RNA from 1 species